rnacentral:rRNA from 1 species
GACACGAGCUGACGACAGCCAUGCACCACCUGUGUUCACGCUCCCGAAGGCACUCCUAUGUUUCCACAGAAUUCGUGACAUGUCAAGCCUUGGUAAGGUUCUUCGCGUUGCAUCGAAUUAAACCACAUACUCCACCGCUUGUGCGGGCCCCCGUCAAUUCCUUUGAGUUUCACAGUUGCCUGCGUACUCCCCAGGCGGGAUACUUAACGCGUUAGCUCCGGCACAGCUCGGGUCGAUACGAGCUACGCCUAGUAUCCAUCGUUUACGGCUAGGACUACUGGGGUAUCUAAUCCCAUUCGCUCCCCUAGCUUUCGUCCCUCAGUGUCAGUCUCGGCCUAGCAGAGCGCCUUCGCCACUGGUGUUCUUCCUGAUAUCUACGCAUUUCACCGCUACACCAGGAAUUCCCUCUGCCCCGACCAAACUCUAGCUUUGUAGUUUCCACUGCUUUUAUUUGGUUGAGCCAAACUCUUUAACAGCAGACUUACAAUGCCACCUGCGGACCCUUUACGCCCAAUCAUUCCGGAUAACGCUUGCAUCCUCCGUAUUACCGCGGCUGCUGGCACGGAGUUAGCCGAUGCUUAUUCCUCAGGUACCGUCAUUUUUUUCUUCCCUGAGAAAAGAGGUUUACAACCCAAGAGCCUUCCUCCCUCACGCGGUAUUGCUCCGUCAGGCUUUCGCCCAUUGCGGAAAAUUCCCCA